UGGAGCUCCCUUUCCUCUCGUUUUAGUUCUAUUUUUUUUUUUUUAAAGAAAUUUCACAGGAGAAUAGAAACAACAUUUCUAGAAGACGGUAGUGUUUUAUUGUUACAUCCUUUAAGGAAGGACUUUAGACGCUUAGCCUAGAUUGACUCAACAUUAGACAUUCCCCUUCUCUCGGCAGGAAGGACAGGGACGCACGUUCUCAGCUUGACUUACGGAACCUUGACGAGAAGACUGGUUAUCAAGGCUGCUGGGCUGAGAAAGGUGGGUCAGAUGGAGAGGAAGACCAAGGAUGUCCCACCUCCAUAAUGGAAGUCUGAAUUUAAGCACUUUGGAAAAGCAACUUGAUAAGUGGAGAAAUGAAGCUUUGUGAAAGACAGCACCCAUCAUCGUGGAGCCAGGGAUUUGGGACCAAAAAUGUGAGAGAGGUCUAAAGAGGAGAAAAGGACAAUGGAGUGUAGAUGUAUUGGGAAAAUGAACAUUCAGGAUGGCCAUUGGUGUGAAAGAAAGAACUCUU
rnacentral:lncRNA from 1 species